UUGGUCAGUCAGUCAGUCGGUCAUUCUGGCGGUCAAUCAGUUGAUUGGUUGUCCAGCUCAACAUGUCUUUGAGUUAAAAGAUGUUUAAAGUUUAAAAUACGGCUAAAAGACAUUAUUAACAAAACCUAAACAGAAAAUUUAAAGUUUCUUAAGAAAGGAAAAAAAAUACAGUUACAAUAAAUAUUUAUUCUCUUCAGUUGUUUCAUCCUAAUUAAAGUGUCCAAAUAUUUUGAUCCAUUAUUGACUUUAUUAGCUGAAGUUGUUAACAUGUUGUUAGCAUGACCAGGAAGUGGAUAGAGUUCAGGUGAAUGACCUCUGACCCCAGGCUGUGUUCACAUACUGACGUUUUCCUGUUGCUGUUUCUGGAUAAAAUCUGAAUGAAUCUCAGCCUGGAGGAGCAACUGGAGGCUGGCAGCCCGCCAGGCUGAUGAAGGCCUGGAGAUCAGCAGAACCUCCAGAACCUCCCAGCUGCUGUUUCUCAACCUCUGGGCCGGUUUCCAGAGGGAAGACAGACGUCCUCACAGCAGGACGGUCGUCCGGGCGUCCUGGACUUACGCAAGACAAGUGAUGGGCAGACGGAGACCUCCUGACCCCUGAGUGACCUCUAACCCGGCCCUGAUGUUCUGCAGCGGUCGGUUCGAUGUAUCCAAAGACCAGAAACGGCUCAGAAAGACUUUAAGUGUCCAACUCGUCACUGUGAACCACAGCAUCAACUCAGGACUUUGACUAGGCCGUUGUGCUCUGCAGUUGUUUAUUAUUGUAACCAGGUUGCUAUGUAUUGCAAAUUUUUUGCUCAGGUCCCUCCUGAAAAUGAGAUCUAGAUCUGAACAGGGUUUACCUGGUUAAAUAAAGGAAUUAGUGAAAAACAUUUCAGCAACAAGACAGUUCAUCGUUCCACAGAAACAUCAUAAAGUCGCCAAUUAUGAAACAAUAAACAUCACGUUUUGUCUCAUCAAAUACAAAAAGAGGAGACAAAACUGAGCCAGAACCAGAACCAGGACCUGAGAGGUCUGAAGGUUGAUCCAGCAGAUCUUUAAUGAAAACAUGAUG